rnacentral:lncRNA from 1 species
GACCGUCAAUAGUUGUGAACCAGAACAUACAUGAUUAGUAAUUGCAUAAUGAAUUAGAAGUAGAUUACCAGAGUCAUCCCAAGAGCAAGCUUGAUUAGAGCUUGAUCAUGACGAAGUACAACCGGAGGAAGAACCGACAGGCCGGCCUCUCCUCUAAUCCUCCUUCGCUCUCCAUCUUGCUACUAUCUAGAUCUACUCUAGUUUAGAGAAGAGAGGAGAGCUCUCAUCUCUAAACCCUAGCUUUUGCUCUAUCUAUGAAUAAUGAAUAAUGAUCAAGGGGUGCCUCCUCCAGGGGCCAUGGGGUCUGGUUAUAUAGUCCCCUCAAGUGAACCUGGGCCGUCGGAUCAAACCGACAUUGAUUGAACGGUUAUUCUUGAUCCUUUAGGUCGGUGGAGCAUAAUCCGCGAGAUUGAGCGUGAUUGGUUGAAACUCCAGGGCGGGCGCCCAAGGAGGGAGGGCGGGCGCCCUGCCCCCGGGCCCGUUCGGCCUCCCGUUCGUUCUCGUGGCUUCUAAGUCUUCUGAAUGAUAGAAAAUUGCGCGGCAUGUUAAUAUCUCUAUGUAAACCCGACGUGUGGGCCUUUCCUCCAUAUUUCCUGAUAACCCCCUGCAGAAACAGACAAACGCCAAAACUCAUGGAAUUCUGUCAGAUAAAACCCUAAGUCUGGGUGUUGGUUGCAUUUGGAUCCUUUUCUUUAUUUAUUUGAUGAUUAUAUUUGGUACUUAUGGACCGUCAACAACUCCCCCAAGCUUACCUCUUGCUCGUCCCUGAGCAAGGAUGGACUCAAGAGUUUCUACAGUGGUUUUAUGCCUUAAAGGUACACAUGGAUUUAAACAAAAUCUCAUCUCUAGGUUAGGGUAACUGUUUAAGAUUUAAACUUACUCAUAUUACCUUCCACCAUGGGGCUUGCAACCGUCACUUGUGUCUUGAGCAGUUAAAAGAUAGAACAGUCAAGUCAAGCACCAUGUCUCUUGUUCUUUGAUCAACUAUAGCUCUAGAGUUUUUGCAUAUUUUCAAAUAAAACUCAGAGAUUCCUUGUAUGACUCUCUUUAGUCUCUCUUUUGUGGUAUUUCUGGAUCCUUACCAAGGUAGUGAUAAUAUACGCCUUCUCUCAAAGUAUGUAGUAUUUAUGGUAUGAGGCAUAGUGAUAUUGCCUUCUUUCUCACCCUACUCUAAUAAGGUUUGAUAUCUAGAGCUCAUGGGUGGGAGACAGCUAAUACAUACUUACAAGACAUUUAUUGCAUAGUCAAACCAUGGAUCCAGAGAAACGAGUCAAUAAGUCAAAUCAAGAUGUGCAUGUGUGGGGAAUGAAUGGUGUAUGGUGAUGAUGGUGAAAACAUUGGUGAAAGUCUAAUUCUACUUUUGCUCUUUUAAGGGGAUACAUACCUUUCUUGCACUUUGAAGCUUUUUGAGGAGAAUGAGAUGCUCUAUAUUUUCUUUUUCUUUCCUCUCAGGUGGGUAUCUUGUACCCCUAAUUCUACUGUCGGACACUUGUCCAUUUUUACCUCUCGUCUCACUUUUUCUUUUUUUUUGAGGUUCUAGGCACUUGCCCCUUUUAUUUCCUCGUAUUUUUUUCUCUUUUUUUAGAGCACUCACCCUCAUAGAAUAAUGUAGCAAGUGGUAGUAACCAAAAUAUCAAGAGCAUUUAUUUCACAGGGAAUAACAGGGAUAGGAUAAUGGUUUUGGCUAUUCUCUCCUGGAUAGGAGUAGAAUAAUUUUAGGUGAAUCUAGAGAUGGAAAUGAGUGGAUGUAUGUGGAUGCAUACUUCCGGAGUAGAAGCAGCAUGUAUGAGUGGAUGUGCAAGUGAAUCGUGAUUUUAACCGCAUGACAAGCUCCUAAGGGUCUACAUAGCUUGACCACACUCAAUGCUCAUAAGCAGUAAAAAGUAAAUGUAUGGUUCAUAGUCUCAUAAGCAUGUAUAUGUGGCUGUGGUAGGAUUUUAAACUCUCAUCAUACAGGAACUCAUCAUGCAACAUUUUAAAGAUUUUAAAAGAUAAAAUUCUCCUGAGUUCUAGCAUCUCUAGGAACAGAUGAACAGUAGCUCAACCUUCCCAUAUCAUAUCCAUUAACGACUUAGACUUUAGAUCAAGUACUCUCCCCACAAGUUUAGGUUUAGAGCAAAUCUUAAUUAAUAAUAGUCCUGCCUAAACUUGAGAGAGAUUUCAAUUUUGAGAACUGGUCAUAGCAGAGCAACUAUUCAUCAUUCCUAUGUGAGAGCUUAUCAUGAGGGUUCAUAGCAAACUUUAUUUAUUUAUUUAUUUAGCAAACUAAGCAUAGAUAUAUAUAUAUAUAUAUAAGCAUAAAAUCUUUAUUUGGGUUUUUAUGAUUAUGCAUCUUUUUAUUAUUUGUGUAAAGUAUAAAUGCGAGUAGAAACACAUAGCUGGAUAAAUGGGGGUGCUCUCCCCCAAGCUGGAUUUUGACGUAAUUUCUUCUAAUGUAGCUAGCAGGUGAUGGAGGUGUAUUUGAAUGUCGGCAGCACCCUGACAGCAAUUAGGAUGGCCUCCGUUUGCUAGUCUUCUUUGAUCCUUGAAUUCUGUGGAGCUCAAAUAGACAACAAAGCUUUGUGGAACUGGUUAAGUGUUAGCAUAAAAUCUCUUAGCCUUUAUCAUGUUGAGCUUCCUCUAAUAAAUAUUACUCUCUUUGGUAGGAUCAUAAAUUUAUUUUUAUACUUUCAUUUCUAUAGGACAGGAAUAUAUUUAUUUUUACGCCACCAUAGUGAAUGUACUUAUGGGUUUUAUGCCAUGAGCAUACUCAUAUGGGGCUUACUAACAUUUUUAUUUUCUUUUCAAGAUAGCAUGAUUAACUAGCAAGCCAUUUAAGGAAAGUAAAUAAUUAAAGGGAAAAGGGAAUGCAUAAAGGAUAAAUAUGGAUAACUACCGAUUUUACCUUUUGGCGAGGGUUCAAUGUUUUAAGUCUUCUGAACAAGACUUCUCACCGUGUUCAUUCUUUAGGUGCGUCAUUUGAUUCAGGUGUGGACCUUGACAUGUGCACCUCUUGAUACAGUGUCACUCAUGUUCUUCAUUUGCCCAGCAGUUCGAAGUGCGGCGUUGGCAAUAUCUUGCUUAGUGUGUUUAUGCUCGUAGAUCCAGGUCCUUCACUUGGUGGAAUUUGGAAGUUGUAAAACUCCACCAUGUUUUCCUCCAAGUGUACCUGCUCAUAGAGAUAAGGCAGAGAUCAAGUGCAUGGGCCCUGUUGGUGAAAAACACCAACAGAACCAAAAGUGUAUUUGUUCUUCUCUUACCUUAAGCAUAGUGAGCAAGACAAAGUUGAUGGAUGAUAAGUUCAUGAGUGUAGUACUUAUAACAUUUGUCAGAUCAGAUCGCUCAACCUUAUGGAGAGAUAAUCUAUCUAUGUAUAUGUCUUUUUCUUUAUAUCUUGCUAAAGGUUGAAUGUGCAACAUUUUAGCUCAUAUGAUUAGGAGUGUGGGAUCAUGGAGGUAGUACUAGGAACAAAGAUUAAAGGACUAAACAUGCUGAAUCAGUUGGGUUGGUUAAUUUGGAGUUAUAAAUCAUACAUGUUUGUCUCUUUAUUUAUGUGAACGCCAGAACCAAGGAGAAGCUUAUAAAAGUGAUAGUGAGAUAUCUUAAGAUGUUACCGUAAUUGAAGAGUGAUGGUAUAGUAUCACCUUGUGGAAGCUUUCCUUUCUUAGCGGUUGUGCAUCGUGUUUGUGGCACCCUCCAUGGAUCAUCUCUUAUGAGCUAUGUCUUCCUUGUGUAAAUUGUUAAACUUUAUGUGUCCCUCUCCUUGUCUCCAAUGUGAGAUUAUCUCAGGACUUCCUAGGUUGAUAUUGAAAGUUUUCCUGCAGGGGUUAGUCCGACAAAAUAUACCAAUAUCUACUCAAGCAGUUUUUAGUUCAGUAACCAAACUAGACUCCAUGUCUUAUCAGAUUAAGGAAGGCUAUUUAACCUAAGCACCAUGCUUAAUUUAAAAGCCAAUAGAAGUAUGUGCAGUACUUCCAAACUAACACUUACUAGGAUAAACAAAGGUAGCGUGAUAGCAUUUACAGAGAUCUACUCAAGUGGAGAUGAAGUAGUGUGAUUAGUAUUUAACAAAUUGAGCAUCUCUUAAAGGUAGGGACAACAAACAU